CGUGGGUAACCUGCCCAAGAGAUCGGGAUAACACCUGGAAACAGAUGCUAAUACCGGAUAACAACAGAUGAUGCCUAUCAACUGUUUAAAAGAUGGUUCUGCUAUCACUCUUGGAUGGACCUGCGGUGCAUUAGCUAGUUGGUAGGGUAACGGCCUACCAAGGCGAUGAUGCAUAGCCUAGUUGAGAGACUGAUCGGCCACAUUGGGACUUAUACACGGCCCAAACUCCUACGGGAGGCAGCAGAC
rnacentral:rRNA from 1 species